GACCGGUCCAAAGGUCGUCCUCCAGGCUUCAGUGAUGAACCUGAACCCUCAGACACAAAAGUUCAGACCAACAGACGGAGAGCAGAGUCUCCAGGAUCCAGCUGUCUGUCUAUGAAGAGUAACGAGUCCAAAGGUCUUCCUCUACUCUUCAGUGAUGAACCUGAACCCUCAGACACAAAAUCCAGAACAAGACGUGGACUGCAGACAGCCAGUCAGACCAGCACUGUCCAAAUGAGUGGUGGUCUGCAGGAGGUUUUAGAUGAACAUA